rnacentral:rRNA from 1 species
CCAAGGAAUUUAUUGUGUACGCAAGUCAUUGGGUGUAUAAAACCCUAAGGCGAAAUGAAAGUAAAGAGUUGAGUUUAUAAAAAAGAAAUAAAAUUUUUUUUUUUCUUUUUUAUUUUUCUCUUUUUUAGGGAAGAUGAGAAUUUAUAUUUAUAAUAUAAUUAUUUAUAUAAAUUUUUCGCAUUCCUAAGGCGCUUGUUUCACGCUUUGCGUGUCGAUGCGCACCUAGAGCGUACACGAUGAUACCCGAAAGAGGGGGAACUAUGCCGGGCCAGGACGAAGCCAGGGGAAACCCUGGUGGAGGUCCGCAGCGAUUCUGACGUGCAAAUCUAUCGUCGGAGCUGGGUAUAGGGGCGAAAGACCAAUCGAACCAUCUAGUAGCUGGUUCCCUCUGAAGUUUCCCUCAGGAUAGCUUGCGCUCGGUUGAGUCUCAUCCGGUAGAGCGAAUGAUUAGAGGCAUUGGGGUCGAAACGACCUCAACCUAUUCUCAAACUCCAAAUAGAUGAGACCCCCGGCUUUCUUAAAAUUGAAGCCGUG